UACGUAGGUGGCGAGCGUUGUCCGGAUUUACUGGCGUAAAGGGCGUGCAGGCGGUUUGUUAAGUGCAGGGUGAAAGCUCCCGGCUCAACUGGGAGAGGUCCUUGCAUACUGGCGAACUCGAGGGAGGCAGAGGAAAGUGGAAUUCCCGGUGUAGUGGUGAUAUGCGUAGAUAUCGGGAGGAACACCUGUGGCGAAGGCGGCUUUCUGGGCCCUACCUGACGCUGAGACGCGAAAGCGUGGGGAGCGAACCGG
rnacentral:rRNA from 1 species